UACGUAGGGUGCAAGCGUUAAUCGGAAUUACUGGGCGUAAAGCGUGCGCAGGCGGUUAUGUAAGACAGUUGUGAAAUCCCCGGGCUCAACCUGGGAAUUGCAUCUGUGACUGCAUAGCUAGAGUACGGUAGAGGGGGAUGGAAUUCCGCGUGUAGCAGUGAAAUGCGUAGAUAUGACGGAGGAACACCGAUGGCGAAGGCAAUCCCCUGGACCUGUACUGACGCUCAUGCACGAAAGCGUGGGAGCAACAGG
rnacentral:rRNA from 1 species